rnacentral:rRNA from 1 species
UACAGAGGUCUCAAGCGUUGUUCGGAAUCACUGGGCGUAAAGGGUGCGUAGGUGGCGUGGUAAGUCAGAUGUGAAAGCCCGGGGCUCAACCUCGGAACUGCAUCCGAUACUGCCGUGCUAGAGUGCUGGAGAGGUGACUAGAAUUCUAGGUGUAGCAGUGAAAUGCGUAGAUAUCUAGAGGAAUACCAAAGGCGUAGGCAGGUCACUGGACAGUUACUGACACUGAGGCACGAAGGCCAGGGGAGCGAACGGG